CCCUUGCUCCCCUCUCAGAGCAUGCGAGGCCCCUCCGCCUAGGGCUGGGGACAGGACCCAGAAAUGUCGCGGUUCAAACAGAGGCACCAACACAAUAUAGGCUUUCACCAUGCAAGUGUAUUGAGUUUAUGUACCUGUUGAUCCAUGGACGUGUCUGAUGACUGGAGCUUCUAAGUCCUAACCGUGGCUGGUGGCUCUUCCAGGAACAUGGUUUCCUGGACUUGAAGAGUGAGAACGUCAGAGGCCCCACCUGAGCAACGUCUGCGCCCCCAGCCUCUCUCACAGCGGGGAUCAUGUGAGACCACGCAAGUUGACACCGUGUUCCGUCCACACCUGGCACACAAGUCUGUGAUGGCCCAUUGGACAGACAUGGAAAUUGAGGCUCAGAGAGAUGAAGUGACCUGCCCAGGGUCAAGGAGCUUCAGUGAGAACCCAAGUUGUUCUGGUCCAAGGCCUGUGUUCUUAAUCCCUCACCCCCUCAGUCCUUCCCUAUCCUGAGCCUGGGGGCAGCUGGUGCAGGGGCGAGAGCAGGAGCUUUGGAGCCACAGACCUGGCCUCAGAUCCCAGCCUCACUGGGGCCUCCGUGUGGCCUCGGUGAGUCUUCAGCCUCAGUCUCCUCACCUACAAUCAGGGGCCACAUUGCCACUAUGUGGAUCCUGGUGGGGAUCGAAUGCAAUAAGGCAUGGAAGCACCCGGGGAGGGCCUGGCAUGCAGUGAGAGCUCACUGUCUCCACCCCCAACUACUCAGGACCACGCUUCCAAGGCAGGGCUGAGAGAGGCUGUGUGGGCUGAGCCUCUGGAAGUGUCCUGCCAGGUCAGGGAAGUGGGACUGCUAUGGGAGGUCAGGAGAGGAGGUCCCUGUGGGAGGCGUACUUUCCAAAAAUGGCCUCAGGAGCAUUUCCAGGUCCACACACUGGAAACUUGUCAUUCUCCAUCGAGAGAUGGAGUCUAUUGCCCCACUCCUUGAAACUGGGCAAAACUUUGUGACUGGCUCAAUGAGCAGAAUGCAGCAGAAUCGUCAUCCCACAACUUCCCAGGCUAAAUCUACGAAGGGAAUACAGCUUCCACCUGUCUGUUUGUCUGUCUGCCUGCCUGUCUCUGUCUCUGGAAUCCAGCCACCAUAUUGUGAGGAAGCCCAGGCCAUAUGAGAAGGACACUAUGGGUGCUCUUGCCAACAGCCUCAGUUAAGGUCUUGGCCAGUGACCAGCUUCAGCCACUGGACACAUGCAUGAACGACUCUUCAAACGAUUCCAGGUCCUGACUACAACCAAGCCAGGUCACGUCAAGCAGAGCAGAGGCGAAUGAUGCCCUCUGAGCCUCCCCAAAUGCAGGUUUGAGAACAAAGUAAACGUCCCUGUUUCAAGCGCUAAGUUUCUGGUACUCAGCACUGGGUAACAGGAACCGCCCUCCUGCCCUGCAGCCCUCCAAGCCACCCCAGCCAGGUACAGGUAAGCCCCUCCCCAUGUCCCACUCCCACUCCCACAGCCAGAACCUGGGUCAGUCCUCUGCCCACUGCUGAGCCCUCCCAGCCGAGACAGCCAGCCUGGCUCAGAGCCCCGCUCCAGCACUUUCCCUGCGUGCCCUCGGGCAGAUCACCAACCCUCUAUGAUGCUCAGUUUCCUCUGUGUCGAGUGGGAAUUGUGAUGGUAGCUCUCAGGAGUCUGGAGGGUUAACCAAAUAAAGUGCCUGGUACAGAGUGAGUGCUCCUUGGGUGGACGCAGGGGUCAGAGGCUGGAGAGAAAGGAAGAAGUCAAAGAUGUGGUCACAGGAGAGACGAGGAGAGGGUUUCAGGGAGCCUGGAAAGCGAAGAGUUCUGUGGUCAUCAAAUGUGAGAAGCACAGUUCUGUGCAGGUGGGAUGGGUCCCAAGGAGGCGCUGCCCUCAGGCUGCUCUCAGAUUGACUGAGGUAUGGGAGGAAGAGGAGCUGGGCCGGGCAAGUGUGUGUGUGUGUGUGUGUUGGGGGGGGCCGGGCACUAGAGCCAGGUGGGCUCAGCUACACCUGAGUGUCGGCUCUGAGGCUUCUCAGAAACCAAGGGGCACCCUCCCUGCCCCAGCCAGAGCCAGCCCGGCCGGCCCUAUCUAGGGAGAUAAAGUCACUGCCGAGGCUCCCAGACCAGAGCCGUCCUUAUCAGCCCUGGUAGUCUGGGGUAUUUGGGAAUGUAAACGAGCCUGAUGCUCCAGCCCAAAGACACAAAGCAGAGGUGGGGGAUGGUCCCUCUCCCCAUCCCCCUUCCCUCCUUGCAGCCCUACAAGUGGGCGAGGCAGGAGAGCAGCCUUAGGGCCGGGGCGAGCCCUUCACCCACCACCCACCAGCCUCGAUGUCCCGGAAAACACAGCCCUGCAGAGUUCACUGCCUAGUGGGCGAGAUGGACAAGUAGGUAAUAAUAACAACAGCAAUAGCAAGCUUGUUUCUGAGCACUUGCUCCACGCCGGCACUGCUGUGGGUGAGCCACAUUGCGCCGAGUGACUUACACAGGUGAACUCACUUAAUUCGCACACAGCCCCAUGGUGUAGCACUGUGAAUAUUUCCACCUUACAGAGGAGGAAGCUGAGCCACCGGGAGGUGACCGCCGGCAUGCGAGUUCCAGAGCAGGGUUCAAGCUCGGGGAGGCCUGGCUCCCUGAGAGCGCAGCGAGGGCUGUGAUGGGGGUUCCACCACGGGCAGUCUCUCCUGGCUGAGCUAGAUGGAGCUGUGGCGAGACAAGGGAGGGAACGGGUCAGCGCAGAGUGGGUGCCCCACAAGGCUCAGUGUCCACCGCCCCCCCCCCCCAGCCGCCUGCCUCUGCACCCCUCCCCUUCCCUGCUCCAUUGCCCUGGGGCCUGUGGCUCGGGGCUCCCAGUCUUACGGAGGCCCCUUUGCGAGGCGCUCCUGGGGUCCAGAGGUGCGAACACCAGGCAGUGGGAGCAGGGAAAGAACUCGGGGUUUGGGGCCAGGUGGUCGGACAGGGUUUAAACCCUGGCUCUGCUCCCCUCUGGUGGAGUGAUGGCCGCAGCACCUGCUCAUCCCAGGGCCUCCGUUUCCCCGUCUGUGAAACGAGGUGUGGCUGAAAUGACCUUCAUGGCCUUGGGCUCUGCUGACAUUCCAGACCCCAUGUGAGCCCAGUAACCAUCGCUGCACCAGUGGAGAUGCAGGCGAGGGGCCUGGGUGGCCGUGACAGGGGUCUGCGGGCCUUCCUAGGGGAGGAGGCAUUGAGCAGACCCCUGACAUAUAUUGCUCCUUUUCUGCUCCCCCGCUGCCUCCCUUCCAUGCUUUUCCCUGAGCCCAGCAAGAUCUGGUCCCUGGGCUGAGGGGCUUCGGGCUGGGCAGGGGGCUGAAUGCUCCAUGUCACAGGGGCUCAGAUCAAGGUCUGCACAGGGGACAGUGAGGAGGGGGCAUUGAGUGAGGGAGGGGUCAGGGCACCUCGUGGGGAACUCUGGGGCGUGGGACACGAUCCUUGAAGAGUAGGUGGGUGUUUGCCAGGCAGAACAGAGGGUGAAGAAAAGAGCCUCUGGCAGAGGGAGGUGGAGACCAAAGCCUGGCGGUGGGAGCAGGGGCAUCUGUCUCCUGCGAAGAGGCUGGAGCGCGGGAGCCAGAAGAAUGGGAAGAAGGGCUUGAACAGCAGGCAGAGGAGCUGGGGUCCUGGGGAGCCAUGGACAGGUUUUGAGAAGAGGAGGGGUGUGAUCAGAACUGUGUCUCUGCCUACCAUGAGGAGGCUGGACCGGAGCGGGGAGAUGGCUGGGAAGCCAGGAGACCACAGGGCGUGCAAGUCUGGAGAUGCAGGCAAGAGAGAAGGAGGCCCGAACCCAGUCAAGGGCAGUGGGCAGGGAGGGUCUAUUUCAGAGAUGAAGGGAUGGCCUAGGGACACAGUGAUUGUCAGGGGAAGGAGGGGGAGGCAGGUGACCCCAGGGGUCUGGCUGGCUUGGGCACAGGGUGGACAGUGGUGUCCACCACUGCAGAGACUGGGGGGUGGGGAGUGGACAGGCCCAGUGAUCGGCUCUGUUUGGGACGCACAAAGCAUGAUUAUGUGGUGGUGAUCCUGGGCUGGGCCCCACCCCUGAGAAUGCAGGCUCCAGGUCAGGCCUCAAAAUGGGAGGCAGGGGUGGGGAGGGGGUGGGAAAGGCCAUAAUGGGAACAUAGGGUGGGGUGACCAGGACAGAGAAGGGGAUGUUGGGAAGAUACCCAAGGCAUCCUCCUCUCGAGGGUCUGGAGAGGAGUCUUCAGGGGCCGGGAAGGCAGAAACCUCAUGGGCAGCAUGGGUCCCUCGGCCUGUCCCCCUGUCUGCAGGCUGGCCUGUCCCUACAGUCAUGGCUGAUUUGAGCUUUCUGGGCUGCUGUCCUGUGUGUGCAGUGCGGGGGUCGGACCAGAAGACCUCUGAGCCCCUUCCCUGUCUGACUCUUCCCGGCUUCUCUGUUUUCCUUCACCCCCCAUUGAUCACGUGGCCUUAUGUAAGGCCUCCCGACUCUGGGCCUCAGCUGCCUCCUCUGAUCCAGAGGCUGGCCUGGACUGGAAUGAUCUCUAAGUUUGCACAGAAGGCCUCAGUGUUUGUUCAAAGGGCAAGCGAGCAGAUUCCAGCUGCCGAAGCCCCAGCCUUUGCUCCUCUCUGAGGAGUCCACUCUCAGGCCUGCCUCCCUGGCCGGGUGACCUGCCCCCUGCCCUCAAUUAGUCAGCUCCCAGGAUACGGCCACAGCCUGUCUGCUCCCAGUUCGCCCACCCUGUGACCCGCUGCGCGUCCCAGAGCUGGGGAGGGGCGGCCUGCAGGCCCGAGGCUUCCCCCUCAAUCUCGGGAUUGGAGCCAGCUCCCCAGUAAGCCCCGUUGUCCCCAAGGGGAGAUGCGGUGGCCCCGCCUGCUCUCAGCAGACCCUGGAAUUCAGAAAGAAGGCAGCUGGCGGCAGAGGGAUAAUGACCCCGGCUUUUAAACUUUCUCUGCAAAGCUCUGGAUGCCGUCACAUGGACAACCCUCCCCACGGCCCAGCGAGGAAGGACGAGCAGGGAGAGCCGUGGCACAGAUGCAGAAACUGGGGCUCUGAGAGAGAGGAAGUGACUUUCCCAGAGUCACACAGCAAGUGGCAGAGCUGGGACGCAAACCUUGGCUCCGCCACAAGCCCAUCCUCCGUGGGGACUUCUGAUUCUGAUGAUUCCCAAAGUUCCUCCAGAACCCACACCCUAUGCCAGGGUUCCUCCUGGCAGAUGAGUGAGGUCAGGCAGAGGGGAAGGGCAGGACAGCCCGAGCUCGGUGAACUGCACUCCAUCACUGCCCCAUGUGAGAGACAGGCUGACCCUGCUUGCUCUACCUCCACGUGGACUUGAGACCCUGCCAUAGCCCUCAAGGCCCUAGGAGGCCAAUGGCCUUCCUGGCCCUCCAGCCUCUUCUCCCCUUUUCCUCCUUUGCCCUGUGAGCUCCUGCCGUAUGGUUUUCUUUGCUUUCUUAAAUAUACCAGGCCCCCAGCUGCAGGGCCUUUGCACGUGCAGUUCCCUUAGCUUAGGAGCCACAGCCCCUUCCAUGUCCAUUCUUAACGCCUCUUCAUCCUUCCAUCAUUUUAAAUAACGGCUUUAUUGAGAUAUAAUUCAUAUAUCACACAUUCACCUAUUUAAAGUACAUAAUUCAGUGGUUUUUAGUAUAUCCACAGAUUUGGGUAACCAUCACCACAAACAAUUUUAGAAUAUUUGCACCCCCCUCCCCACCCCCACAAAGCCCUGUACUGGUUAGCAGUCACUGCCGCCACCUCCUCACUGUUUGGCAACCUCUAAUCUAAUCUCCGUCUCUAUGGAUUUUCCUAUUCUGGACAUUUUGUAUAAAAGGAAUCAUACACUAUGUGGUCUUUGAGACUGGCUUCUUUCGCUUAGCACAAUGUUUUCAGGAUUCAUCCAUGUUAUAGUAUAUGCCAGUCCUACGUCGCUCUUUAUUGCUGAACAAUAUUCCAUCGGAUGGACACACCACAUCUUGUUUAUCCAUUCCUCAGUUGAUGGACAUUGGGUUGUUUCCACUUUUUGGCUAUUAUGAAUAAUGCUGCUAUGAACAUUCCUGCUCAAAUUUUCUGUGUGGAUGUGUGUUUUCAUUUCUCUUGUAUAUAUUCCUAGGAGUGGAAUUGCUGGAUCAUGUGGUUGUUCUGUGUUUAACCUUUCAAGUUACUGCCAGACUGUUUCCCACAGAGGCUGCAUCAUUUUCCACUGCAACUAGCAGUUAUUAGAGUUCAAGUUUCUUCAUAUCCUCAUCAAUGCUUUUUAUCUUUUUAUCUUUCUAUGGCCAUUGUAGCCGUUUUCAUACCCAUGAGAGCCAACAGGCCUGGCAGACAGCGUUCUAAUCCCGCCCUCACACCAUCCGGCUGUGUGACAUCUUUGGACUCUAAAACCAGAUCAUUGCAUAUGCUGAGUGGUUUACUCCUUUUCUCUAUUUGGAUGCAGAACUGUCUCUUCAUUUGAAAUAAGAGGAACCCAAUAUAACUGAUAUCUCAUUGUGGUUUUGAGUUGCGUUUCCCUGAUGGCUAAUGAUGUCAGAGCAUCUUUUCACGGGCUUAUUGGCCAUUUGUAUAUCUUCUAUGGAGAAAUGUCUAUCC
rnacentral:lncRNA from 1 species